rnacentral:lncRNA from 1 species
CAAAGUAAUACUUAUAAAAUUGAAAUAAUUAAAAAUAAUUAGCAGAAACUCUCCAAAAUAAGACAAUCAAAACCAUCUGGGCUUGAAUAUAUUAAAAAAUGUUGAUCAAGGAAAACACCUUAGAAAUCUGUGUGUUAUCUUGUAAUUUCAAGUGUGGAUAUUUUAAAUCCUGAAGAAAUGGGAUCAAAUAAGCUCUCAGUAGUGUUCUAUAUCAACUGUAAUUUAACACAUCUGUCCAGAGGAGUAGUGAAUAAUGAAUUACACUAAUCAAUCCAGAUAAAAGAGAUUUAAUUAACAUUAACAUCUCCUCAAAGUCUUUAAAACUUUCUUUUUUUUCUUUCUGUUUUGGUAUUCAGGGAUUCUAAUCUAAGGGUCCUUUGAUGAUGAAAGAAUAUUUUUAAGAGAGAUUUUAUUAAAAGGAUUUGUGAUAUUUAGAUGUAUGUAAGAUGAAACUUUUCUCCAAUUUUUUAAAAAGGCACUUCAUAAAACAUAAAAAGGCUGUCAGUAUUAUCACUUCGUAUUACUUUAUAAAAAUAUCUGGAAAUAAAAGUUGUUGUAUAGGGAAUAAACAUGCUUUGCCAAAUUUUAAUUAAUAUGUAUUCAAAAAAUUGAUGAUGUCUGGAUAACCAAUGAGUGACCUUCAGUGCUUUGUAGGGCAACCUGCAGGCAUGGAGGCUCAGCAAUAAAUACUUAGCCCACUAAGGUGAUUGAAGGGGUUACAGGUGUUUUCUGCAAAGUGGUUAAACCACUUCAUGAGUAAAUGUAAAUCUUCAUACAGACCUGUAUAGGGCAGUCUACAACCACAGGCCAGUUACAGUAAUUAAACAAGCAACUGAAGAGUUAUGACAAUGAGAGCAGUGAAAUGAGAAUCUGAAUAUGGUCUUUUCACUAUGUGGGGAAGUCCUCAUUUUGGUCUAAGAUGGAAGCAAGAGAAGAGACCAGGGUUAAGAGUGACAAUUGCCACAGAUAGGGAUGUUAUACUGACCCAUAACUGGAUUUUAUCGGUACCACAUUGAAGCCUUAGUGUAACUAAUACUGAUGACUUUAUUAAUGCUAACACUGCAACGUCUUUAAUGCACACCAGCAGGAGACAAGGGGAGAACCCUAACCUGGGAGUCAGAAUGCCUGACUCAUAUUCUUUCCCAACUCAUUUAAUCUGCCUUCACUCCAGUACUCCAAUUCGUAAAAUGCAAAUAGUAGUAUGUGCCCUAGGGCUCAAAAGACUUUCAAAACGUGAGAAUAGAGAUAGAUAUUCUGGAAAUAUGAUGUCCUCAAAUUGAUUAUUUUUUGGUACACUGAAAGACAAUCAAAAAGUGAAACAAAAGAGGCAUUUAAAAGUAGUAUUAGGAAAAGUGUCGAUCUCUUUUUAAGAAAAAUAAUGCAAUGCAGAACAAUUUAUAUGUAGUAUAUAAAUAUUUAUAUGCCGAAAUUACUAACAUAAAUAUAUGUAUAUCUUCAUAUCCACUUAUAGACAAAGAUAUAUGUAUAGGGAAAAAUUUACCCUAUGUUGAUAAAACUUGUAUGCACAGUUCAGCCUUUCAGUUUAGAGGAUCAAAUCCUACCAAGAGGGUCAGGCACAUUUUAUUUUAUUUUGAGCCGUUUGAGAUGUAUGUGAAUUCCAAUUUAUAUAAAAGGAUUUGUUUAUUGUAUACAGCUGUCAUUGCUUUCAGGAGUAAAAGGUGAGCAGCACAGUCUGAAAAUAAAUAUUGAAACUUCUUUUACAUUUUCUGAAUUGUUGUACUGGUCAUGAGAGGCUGAUAUUGCAUGGAAAAAUAGCUCCUCUUUUGAAAAAUACUAUUUUAUGGCACAUGGACUCACAGAGUAAAGAGACAUUUUCUGUUAGUAUCAUCACUUGAACAUGCACUUAGCAAGAAACUGAAUAUGGUAGAAUUUCUUUACUCAGUUCAAAGGAUUACUCAUUUUUGUUUCAUAGUGUUUGGUCUGGGCUCUAAAUGAAGCAAGGAGGUUAAUGUAACGAGACUCUUGGUAAUCAUGCAGAACCAUUUGCUGACUUGAUAAGGUUCAGGUGCAAAUUUGUCAGGUCAUCUAGAUGCUUGCCCCAAUAAAGAAUGUUUGCCUGUGACUUUUUUAAACCAUGAAAAGGACAAAUGCAGGCAGUGGCUGCUGGGUUAAAAUCAAAUAAAAAUAACACAAAUGAACAAGAGAAUAGAGGGAUGAUAUUGUACGCUGGGGCAUAUCAAUUAAGAACUAUUUCCACAAUCUGUCCAGAAAUUCAGUGAUAAUAUGCACUAUACAACUAUCCACCCUUACGUUCUUAUUUUUCUUUUUAGCAAUGAGGGAAAAAAUGGAGACAAUAAAACGAGUAAAUUGGUUCAUUUUAUUGUAAUCAAACAAUUUGGUUGAAGUCUCAAUGAUACUCACUCUGCAGUUACUCAGGAAAUUUUAUACAAAUAAUGAUCUUUGAUGUAUCUGAUUUUCAAAGCAACAUAGAUUAGAGGAAUCCCCUUCCCCUCCCCAUUACUGGAAUUAUCAUCACCCAGCCUGACUAAAUGCAUUUCACACCAGACUUCUGUGCAUAAAGAUAUACUGCCCACUGCUGUGAAAAUUAGUAUAACUUUGAUGAGUCAUUUGUUCCAACCUUUGAAAAAAAUGAAACUUCUGAGAACCAUACUGAUCUCAUGAUAACUUUAUCUCUAUACAUGAUAUGGUCCUAGAUUUGUAACUUGGCCAUGAAGAAUCCAUUUGCUAAGGAGAAUAAAAUGUAUUUCUUCUACUUGGAGCCUUAGAAUAAUUUACUUAUUUUAUUAUAGUUUAAGUAGCUCAUUUCUUCAGCCAGUAAUUUUUGUCAUUAGGUAACAGCAAAUUAUACUAGCCAUCGCCUGAGUAUUUUAAUCCCAUUUGCAUUUUACCAGGUCUGUUCACCUGUCAUUUCAUUUUUGAAAUAUAAUUCCUAUAGCAAUCAUAUUAAAAAUGAACUAAUGUUCCAUCAUUUUCUGGUCAAGUUAAAACGAGUCUGAGCAAACAUAUCCAGCAUAUACCUUCGGAGGAACAACAUUAAUAGAGUGUGUAGUGGUAUUUCCCAUCCAGAGAGAUUUUAACUUGGAAAAGACAUCACUUCUUUUAAUUUCUCUCCUGUUC